GGGGUUGCUUUGGUUUCGACAGGAGCAAUCAAGUAUUACAAUACAAGUCGUAGGUAUGCGUUAAAUCCAAAAAUCAAAUUAAAUGGAAACAUUUUAGAACAAUUCGCUAAUAAAGUUAAAUCUUUAUUUACUACUAAUGUAGUAGCUUUUGCUUAGUCAAGAGCAUAGGCGACCUUUAUAUAAGUAUCAGUAAGCCGUCAGAGAAAGUAUAAUUGAUUAACGAGCAAGGACGGACACUUUAUAGACUGUCUCUAGCCGUGGAAUAUAAAGUGAUUUAUAUUAAUGCUUAGAGCCUUUUAUUGAAGCCACCAUCAGCCAAAAUAAAAGGAUAGAAUUAGGUCGUGAAAACGAUAGAUGGUUAUAAACUUGUAAGGCAGAAUGAGAUUUGUGAUAUAAGAUGUUUUUGGACACGAGUUCGAGUCUCGUCAACUCCACCA
rnacentral:tmRNA from 1 species